UACGGGGGGGGCAAGCGUUGUUCGGAAUUACUGGGCGUAAAGCGCACGUAGGCGGCUUUGUAAGUUAGAGGUGAAAGCCUGGAGCUCAACUCCAGAAUUGCCUUUAAGACUGCAUCGCUUGAAUCCAGGAGAGGUGAGUGGAAUUCCGAGUGUAGAGGUGAAAUUCGUAGAUAUUCGGAAGAACACCAGUGGCGAAGGCGGCUCACUGGACUGGUAUUGACGCUGAGGUGCGAAAGCGUGGGGAGCAAACAGG
rnacentral:rRNA from 1 species